AGAGAUAAUUGUAGCAAGAAGAAUGUCCAGUAAAGUUAGAUCUACAAAAAAUUGUGUUUUGGUAAUCAUGAUGAUUGAUGAUCUAACUUUACUGGACAUUCUUCUUGCUACAAUUAUCUCUAU
rnacentral:sRNA from 1 species